GUGGGGAAUUUUGGACAAUGGGCGCAAGCCUGAUCCAGCAAUGCCGCGUGCAGGAAGAAGGCCUUCGGGUUGUAAACUGCUUUUGUACGGAACGAAACGGUCCUGGUUAAUACCUGGGGCUAAUGACGGUACCGUAAGAAUAAGCACCGGCUAACUACGUGCCAUCAGCCGCGGUAAUACGCAGGGUUCGAGCGUUAAUCGGAAUUACUGGGCGUAAAGCGUGCGCAGGCGGUGCUGUAAGACAGGCGUGAAAUCCCCGGGCUCAACCUGGGAAUUGCGCUUGUGACUGCAGUGCUGGAGUACGGCAGAGGGGGAUGGAAUUCCGCGUGUAGCAGUGAAAUGCGUAGAUAUGCGGAGGAACAACGAUGGCGAAGGCAGUCCCCUGGGCCUGUACUGACGCUCAUGCACGAAAGCGUGGGGAGCAAACAGGAUUAGAAACCCUUGUAGUCC
rnacentral:rRNA from 1 species